rnacentral:lncRNA from 1 species
GCUCUUCAAGUUUUGGACAGGUAGAGUUGUCAUUGUUUCUAUCAAGUGCAAAGGAGGUGACGACUGUUUAUUUAGUGUAAUAUCUGUUUACAGCUAAAACUUUAAAGACUUACAAAAGUAGAUCUGCUGGAUUUUAAAGAUCUCGUCUUUCUUGUGGCAGAGACACAACACCAGCAUCAGAAAAGGCAACAGAUUGCUUCUGUCAUAUCGCUUUGCUGUUUUCGAGUGUACUUAAAGGAUUAUGAUUGAUAAGGCUGUCUUGCUGGAGAAUGUUGACACAGGACAUUUCCUCCUGAACAAAUAUAUCAGUGCAGCUCAGAUUCUGGAAGAAAAUUGCCUCACCUGGCAGAGCCCUCAUUUUGUGUGGGAACAUCAGCUUUGUGUAAAGAAGGCUGUCAUCCCUUCAACCUUUGGGUAGCUGUGACCUACUUCCUUGCUGUCUGGGCACCCACUGUAGCAGCCUUUGUAGCAUCAGUAGAAAAGGGAAGAAUUAGUCUACAGAGGAUGCCUCCAACCCUACUGGCAGGAACCUGGAAGUGACAGGAAUCUAACAGCACAUUAAAACUUCAAAACAAAGCCGUGAACUCUAGCAGUGUUUCUACCUUGAAGACAGAGCAUGGGAGAGAGAGUCAAGAAAACAAAGAUUUGGAACCAAACAGUUCAUCUUGCAGUUGUCUUAAAGGUACAAGUUCCCUGUUAUCUUUCUUUAUGGAGUUGGCAAAUGGAAUGAAGAACCUUAUGCAUGCUAGGCAAGUGUUUUACCAAGUGAUUAAUUUCACUUUCAGUGCCUUCCUUCCCGAGCCGAAGUGCUUCUGUAGAGACUAAUUCAGUGAAACCUGUUUAGGGGAUCAUCCCUGCUAGACAGACAGCUGCGAGGGGCAUCCGCUUCCCAGCAUGGAUUUCAGAUUAUGACCAAUGAGGAGCCGGAGCUAAGGAACACCUGUCAGCGAUGUUUGCUGCAAGGAGACCAGCUCUUUAAUCGAAUUUCAUUGUACUUCAGAAAAAGGUUUAUUUUAAAUGUGGCGUCUGCUUUUAUGAUUCAUUCCUCUCAGCUGAGACAUCACUUUGGGGCUUAUUUAUGAUGUUGUUCUAGGGUGAAACGAGAAACUGCAAGAAAGUAUUUCAAAAGGCGGCCUUUCCCAGACAUUCAAUUAGCAACCUUGUCAUGUGGGAAAAUAAAAAAAGCAAUGGAAAUCUUUAGUUUUUGUGUGUGAAUAUAAUUAUGAUAGGGAUCCUUCUGAACACACUUUAGAGUGUUGAAGCUGGAUAGUAAAUGCUCUCUGUGAAGUCUGGGGAACUUUCCUUAUGGAAAUCCAUCUCGCUUAUCUGUGAUGUGAGCAGAGCAAACUAUCAUUGAUGCUGAUGGAUUCUGAAAGGCCAUGCUGACUUUCAACUUGGCCCUAAUUGGAGGCCCUGCUAAGCCCCAUAAUACCAGGUACCUUCUCACAGCUGCAGACCAUGGAGUGUAACUAUCAGAAGACAAACUUCACUGUGCAAACUGUAAUUUAAUGGUAUAACUGUGUGCAGCCCAGAAUAUCAGUUAAUUUUCAAAACAUUUUAUUCUACAGCAAUUAGCUCAGGUCCUGGAGGGCAAAAUGACAAGAGGUUACUCGUUCACUAUGUAUUUAAUUAAUUGAAAAAUGCUCCAAUUGCCUUUACAGUUGUUAUUAGAGAGUGGAAUCAGUGUUGCCAGCGCUCAACCAUAAUUGGAACCCCAGGGAAUUAAAUAUUUAGCAUUAGUAAUGUAACGGCACUUAGGACACAAAUUUCUAUUUUCGUAAUGAAAGCUAUACACUGUGAGUGCAAGCGGCUGAAAGGACAGCUGUGACAAGCGAAACGGCCUGGGACAUUUCAAUAAGACACCUCAUUGGACAGCAAGUCUUACCACAUUAUGCGUUUGUAAGAGACCUGCAAGUUUAAUUCCCACAAGGAACUCGUAGCCCAAGUCUUUAGCGUCCUAAUUGCAUGCAGGAUGAACGGUUGGGCAAAUGUCUUGCCAUAAGUGGCUGAAAUUCAUCCUGCUUUCCAAACAAUCGCAUAUAAGUUCGUGCCUUUGUCAAUUUAAAAAUACUGAGACUGUCAGGAAAUAAGGAGCUUGUUUGUUUUCCAUUUAAUUAUAUUUUAAGCACACAUGCUUUCUGUGCUACAAUGAGAAAAGUUAGCUGUUGGUUCUAAUGAGCCGCAGUGUAGAUGCUGGAGACCCUGAGGGAUUCACUCUGUAAAUUAGCUGGAUAAAAAGUACUUGGUUAGGAUAUAGUUGAUGGCUGAGCUGUUCGGAGAACCAGUUAUGGUACUGUCUCUCACUGCUCUUUCAUUCUAAACAGGCCCUGUAGAGACUUUAACAGCUGCCCAUUAAAGCUGCUCAACUUGUCAAAAUGUAUUAUAUUACUCCACUAAUAAAUAGUAUUAAAGGGUAUUUGACUUCACCUCUCAUUUUCAAAGGGGAUCAGGUUGAUAAACACAACUGGCUUAAGCUGGUCUUAUUUUAAUUUGUUUAUGUCAGCUAAGUAAUAUUGAAGGGCCAUGUUUUAAAUUUGCAAACAUUACCUUCCCAGGCAGGCAAAACUUCCCAAAUAUGAUAUACAGUGGAAACAAGGAAUUGAGACACUUAUUGUAGACUGUUUCUCAUUGAAAGGUGCCUGAUUUUGACAUUGUUAGGCCACUUUAAAGAACCUGAGAGCCCUUGACUAAACUGACAACCUCAGAAAAAUAAAAGUCACAAGAUGAAUAAGUAAUGUCACAAGUUUCUGUUGAUUUUCCAUUGUUCCUGUGUCUAUUUUGGAUUAUUCAAAGUGAUCGUGAUUUUUUUUUAUCAAUUUUUAAGCAUUUUUCAAAACAAUGCAUGUUUACUUUAAAAAAAUACUUUAUUUGAUAAAGUCUUCCUUAGACCCUUUCCCAACUCUGCCUGCCUGCCUGCUAGUCUCCUUUGAUAAUAGGUUUUUUUUUUCUUUUGGUCUUGUUUUUUUGCAUGUGCAUGUGUAUAUAUGUGGUGUGCAUAUGUAUGUAUCUGUGAGUAUGAAGGCCAGAGAUUGACAGUUGACAUAAAAUGUCGUCUUAAUCACUUCCCACCAUUUUUAUUGGGGCAGGUCUCUCAGUUGAACCUGAAGCUUGAUGAUCAGCUCAUUCACCCAGCCAGCUUGCUCUGGGUAUAUAUUAUAUACAUACACAUGUUGGUCUAUGCUUAUAGAUCAUAAUGGUGCCUCAGAUCACUCACAUUUAAAAAUUUUGUUACAUUUGUUUUCAGGGAGUGGUCACAUGCCAAAGUGUAUUGGGGUGUUGAUCAGAGGACAACUUGCAGUUCUCUCUUUCUAUUAUGGAAAUCCCAGUGAUAGAACUCUGGUGUCAGGCUUGGCAACAAGCCUCCUUCCCAGAUUAGCCAUCUCACUGGCCUGAUGGGAGUGCUUUUUAUAACCAUUAGUACAUAUUGUGCAGGUACAAAAAUGUAUUUAUCUGUUGAUUGCCAAUGCCAUUCAGAGUAAUUCAGUUUUGCCAUAGGAAAUGAUACUGUGCUGAACAUCUUCCUAAGCAUUUGAGUGGGCAUGGAUGGGUACAGGGCUCUGUGCGUGUAACACAGAACUGUGAAUCAUCACGGACUGCACCAUUACUGUGUGCUGGGCAUUGUUCAAAAUAACUUUGGUAACUCGUUCCAUCUCUACCCUAAUUAAGAGUUAAGGUAUAGCCAGAUGGUGGUAGCACACACCUCUAAUCCCAGCACUCAGAAGGCAAAGGUAGGCAGAUCUCUGUCAGUUCAAGACCAGCAUGGUCCACAGAGCUAGUUCUAGGACAGCCAGGGCUACACAAAGAAACCCUGUCUCCGAAAACAGAAAAACAAACAAACAAACAAACAAAAGAGUUAAGGUGUAUUGUUAGCCUUAUUUUAUGUAAGGAAACUGAGGCUCAAAGGGGUUAAGCUCCUCAAGGCCACCAGAGUAUACUGUUAGCCAGUCUCUUGUGCCUUCCCCCAUGUUCGCACACACGUGUACACACACACACACACACACACACACACACACACACACACAGCAGUACCUUCCUUGCAUGUGGGUUCAAUUGUGGUUUUCCAUACUUGUUGCCAUCACAUUUCUUCUGAGAACUAAACUGUUGUGUCUUUUCUCAUUUUAUUGUAGUAUGGCCCCAUUGGGCCACACAAAGAUCUUGACUGAUUAAG